UAAAAAUUUCGAAGAAGUCCGUGACAAAGUUCCCGCAAAGUUCCAGAUUUAAACAGACUUAUUUGUUUUCGAUAACCGUCAUACUCUUUAGCUGAUUUGGGCCCAGAGCCAGCCAUCAUAACCACUAUCAAUAUGCAAGUUUGGCUUGUGCUGGUAUUGAGCAGCAUGUCACCAGAAGUCUCAUCGCUUGGAUAAACAGCAUUCCUCUUGAUUGGAGACACUACUGAUGUCGGCCGAGUUAUGGAUCUCCCUUUUUCCCCUUUUUUUAAAUGUCAACGUGUACACCCAUGUGAGUGUGGGUGUAUUCACGAGGACACCCUUUUACCCUAUCCCGUCUGCUGGUGUAAUAUAACUCUUCAGCGG